AGUACAAUUACUGGGUUGUAUGGUAAGUGCACAUUUAGUUUUGGAAGAAAUUGCCAAAUUGUUUUCCAGAGUGGCUGUACCAUUUUAUAGUCCCACCAAAAAU
rnacentral:pre_miRNA from 2 species